UGGGGAAUUUUGGACAAUGGGCGCAAGCCUGAUCCAGCAAUGCCGCGUGCAGGAUGAAGGCCUUCGGGUUGUAAACUGCUUUUGUACGGAGCGAAAGGUCUGCCCUAAUACGGUGGGCUCAUGACGGUACCGUAAGAAUAAGCACCGGCUAACUACGUGCCAGCAGCCGCGGUAAUACGUAGGGUGCGAGCGUUAAUCGGAAUUACUGGGCGUAAAGCGUGCGCAGGCGGUUAUAUAAGACAGAUGUGAAAUCCCCGGGCUCAACCUGGGAACUGCCUUUGUGACUGCAUAGCUAGAGUACGGUAGAGGGGGAUGGAAUUCCGCGUGUAGCAGUGAAAUGCGUAGAUAUGCGGAGGAACACCGAUGGCGAAGGCAAUCCCCUGGGCCUGCACUGACGCUCAUGCACGAAAGCGUGGGGAGCAAACA
rnacentral:rRNA from 1 species